rnacentral:rRNA from 1 species
UACGAAGGGGGCUAGCGUUGCUCGGAAUCACUGGGCGUAAAGCGCACGUAGGCGGCUUUUUAAGUCAGGGGUGAAAUCCUGGAGCUCAACUCCAGAACUGCCUUUGAUACUGAGAAGCUUGAGUCCGGGAGAGGUGAGUGGAACUGCGAGUGUAGAGGUGAAAUUCGUAGAUAUUGGGAGGAACACCAGUGGCGAAGGCGGCUCACUGGACCGGAACUGACGCUGAGGCGCGAAAGCGUGGGGAGCAAACGGG